rnacentral:rRNA from 1 species
UACGGAAGGCAGCAGUGGGGAAUAUUGCACAAUGGGCGAAAGCCUGAUGCAGCUAUGCCGCGUGUAUGAAGAAGGCCUUAGGGUUGUAAAGUACUUUCAUCGGGGAGGAAAAACAAAACUAAUAAUUUUAUUUCUUGACGUUACCCGAAAAAGAAGCACCGGCUAACUCCGUGCCAGCAGCCGCGGUAAUACGGAGGGUGCUAGCGUUAAUCAGAAUUACUGGGCGUAAAGAGCACGUAGGUGGUUUUUUUAAGUCAGAUGUGAAAUCCCUGGGCUUAACCUAGGAACUGCAUUUUGAAACUGAAGUACUAGAGUAUCGUAGAGGGAGGUAGAAUUCUAGGUGUAGCGGUGAAAUGCGUAGAUAUCUGGAGGAAUACCUGUGGCGAAAGCGGCCUCCUAAACGAAUACUGACACUGAGGUGCGAAAGCGUGGGGAGCAAACAGGGAUUAGAUACC